rnacentral:lncRNA from 1 species
GCUUUUGAUUAAUUAAGCAUGAUAAAAGGGUUGAUGGGGGAUAUUAAAUUAGAGUGGUGCAGUAGAAGUGUGGUGAACCUAAUACAUUGGUUGCAGAAAAAUAGAUGAUGUGAUUGGAGAAGAUAUUUGAUGUACAAAAUUAUUCUGAUGAUCAAAAGAAUUUCUGGAGAUCAAGGACAGGAAUAGCAAGGACAAGUUUACCAAAAAAAAAAAAAGAUUAGAAAUGAAUCAGAAUGUGAUAAUAAGAGGGUCAAGACAUCAUCGAUUUGAAAAGGGAAGUCACCAUAAAAGAUUCAAUCCUGUGUACGAUGCGAGUUAGAUUAUGAAAUAAGUUUGUA